CCUGGCGGCACUAGCGCGGUGGUCCCACCUGACCCCAUGCCGAACUCAGAAGUGAAACGCCGUAGCGCCGAUGGUAG
rnacentral:rRNA from 5 species